UCCUACGGGAGGCAGCAGUGAGGAAUAUUGGGCAAUGGGCGCAAGCCUGAUCCAGCCAUGCCGCGUGCAGGAUGACUGCCCUAUGGGUUGUAAACUGCUUUUAUACAGGAAGAAACCUUUCCACGUGUGGGAAGCUGACGGUACUGUAAGAAUAAGCACCGGCUAACUCCGUGCCAGCAGCCGCGGUAAU
rnacentral:rRNA from 1 species